GUGCUCACUUUGGCAGCACACAUACUAAAAUUGCAACAAUUCAGAGAUUAGCACAGCCCCUACAGGAGGAUGACAAACAAAUUCGUGAAGUGUCCCACUUUUUA
ensembl:snRNA U6 U6 spliceosomal RNA